rnacentral:rRNA from 1 species
UACGGGGGGGGCAAGCGUUGUUCGGAAUUACUGGGCGUAAAGGGCGCGUAGGCGGCCUUCUAAGUCAGACGUGAAAUCCCCCGGCUUAACCUGGGAACUGCGUCUGAUACUGGAAGGCUUGAGUGCGGGAGAGGGAUGUGGAAUUCCAGGUGUAGCGGUGAAAUGCGUAGAUAUCUGGAGGAACACCGGUGGCGAAGGCGGCAUCCUGGACCGACACUGACGCUGAGGCGCGAAAGCUAGGGUAGCAAACGGG